UGUGACUGAUACCAGUGUGAAGAGAAGGUCAUGUCUAAUAGUUAUCUAUGUGACUGAUACCAGUGUGAAGAGCUGGUCAUGUCUAAUAGUUAUCUAUGUGACUGAUACCAGUGUGAAGAGCUGGUCAUGUCUAAUAGUUAUCUAUGUGACUGAUACCAGUGUGAAGAGCUGGUCAUGUCUAAUAGUUAUCUAUGGGACUGAUACCAGUGUGGAAGAGCUGGUCAUGUCUAAUAGUUAUCAAUGGGACUGAUACCAGUGUGGAGAGCUGGUCACUUUUAAAAGAAUCACUGAGAGAGAAUCACAGGAGAGAAUCACAGGAGAGAAUCACUGAGAGAGAAUGACAGGAGAGAACCACUGAGAGAGAAUCACUGAGGACAGGGUAGAAUGACCAUCUACCUCUCAGCUUAUCAUCUAUGAUUUAUCCUCUUUGAAUAAACCUAUUUUCCUUCCCCUGAUUUGCUUAAAGAGUAAACAUCAACUGCUAACAAGUUCAUAAACCAUGUGCCAUGGAAUCGGUAGAACAUUGAAAAUCUCUUCCCAACUAGUUUGCAAUCUAUAUGGCACAGCUGUUAAGCUUUUGGUCAUUAAAUGAAACUGGUAAACUUUUGUAUUUAUCACAAUUUUCUUUAACCAUUUUUUGGUCUUUAAUGCCGAUAGACAAGAUCCACUUUUAUAGACAAUAUACAGACGCACAGACAGCACAUUGAACAAACAAAACAACCUUCACAAUAUGAACUGGAAUUACAUUGGUUUAUUAAUGAACUUUUUGUUGAAAACAAAUAUUUGAAUCGGAAGAGACUGUCACUGGCAACCAUGGCUACAAGGAGGGUAUACCAUAAUAUAAUAUUGUUGGGUCUGUUACUUUACCACCCUCCUCACGGAGAAAAUCACCAGAGAUAAUUACAACACAGAAAGUGUGAGAAAAACAAUUAAAUGCAUCAUUCUAACAUUGCCUAAAAUGAUGAAUAAGACACUAAUGAGAUAGACCUGCACAAUGCAGUUGUACAAUUUAUGGCAUAUAUGACGAUAAACGGUUGAGGAAAACACUCAUCUACUUUUCCCAACUUUAAGCAAAUCACCAGCGGCAACAGCUGGGCGAUGACCAAUCAUAUCGAGUGGUUUCCGUGACGAUGACCAAUCAUAUCGAGUGGUUCCCGUGACGUUGACCAAUCAUAUCGAGUGGUUCACGUGACGAUGAACGUUCAUAUCGAGUGGUUACCGUGACGAUGACCAAUCAUAUCGAGUGGUUCCCGUGACGUUGACCAAUCAUAUCGAGUGGUUCCCGUGACGAUGAACGUUCAUAUCGAGUGGUUACCGUGACGUUGACCAAUCAUAUCGAGUGGUUCCCGUGACGAUGACCAAUCAUAUCGAGUCGCUCCCGUGACGAAUCUGACGCGAUGAAACCCAGGACAGGAGACUUUCUCCAGCCAAGAUGGCUGACCAGAAAUACCAAUACGGAAGCAAAUGUAAUUAAUGAUAAAGUCAUAACGAUUCAUACUAAAAAUGUAGAGUUAAGAGGAAUGUGUAGAGACCAACGAUUAUGCAUUUUUCUGUCAUAAAGUUACUUACGAAAAUCGCUAUUCAGAAAGCUAGCAUUAUCAUUAGCCGCUAGCUAACAUUAGCCAGCUAGCUGACUAGCAUUAGCCAGCUAGCUGACUAGCUAACAUUAGCCAGCUAGCUGACUAGCUAACAUUAGCCAGCUAGCUGACUAGCUAACAUUAGCCAGCUAGCUGACUAGCUAGCUAGCUGAC
ensembl:lncRNA